rnacentral:lncRNA from 1 species
CAUGGUUGUCAGGCUUUACACUGGACUCUGAUCCUCCUUCCCUUCCAGUACCAGUUGGCUUAGGGUUUAUUUCAGUGACAAAUCUUAAACUGUGCUGCACCUCGCCAUCCUGCAGAGGGGUGGCUGCUUUGAUGGAGAUGGAAGGACAUACUCAUUCACUGGAUCUAUGACUUUUCUCCAAGGUACAGCAUCAGGACAAUGCAAAAGGAGAAAUGAACAGCCUGUUCUAACAUGCCAAAAAAAUUCAGCCAUAAUGGAAUCCACAGAAACUGACAGAUAUUCAACUUCUUACAUCUAAACUAAAACUUCUGUAAUCACUAUAUUCUAUUGAAAAGGGAUAAAAAUAAGCUUUGAAAUAAUUUUGAAAACAAAGAUCUAUAUAGAGAAUACAUGCAAAUAAACUGAGCAAAUCAGUUGAUGAAUUCCUUUUUGGUAAAUCUUUUCUCCCAAAUUCAUCUGGAUGAUGUCAAACAUUAAAGUUCCUAAAACCA